UUUUUUUGCGGGGUACAAGAGUUAAACUUCUCCUAACCCUCCUCCAAAAUCCAUGGCCUCCCAAAUCUCCAUGGUCGCUGCUGAGUACCAGGUUAGAGCCAUCACCGGCAAUGAGUUCAUCGUCAUCUACACACGUGGAUCCGCGACGGUGAAAGCAUGGCUUGCUCGCUUCCUACGCAUGUUCAACAGUUCAAUGGAUGAGUGGGUCGCUGGGCUAGAUGUUGAGUACACCACAGUCCUGGAAAGAGAGAAGAUUCUAAAGGAGGCAGAGAGGAAGAAGCCCGCCGUGAUGCAGGUUUGCGUACAUAACGUUUGCUUGGUCUACCACAUAUGCCAUGCCGACGUUGAGUGCCAGGAUUUUAAGAACUUCCUCAAGGACAAAAGAGUGAAAUUCGUUACUGUAGACUUUAAGAAUGAUAGGGAUGUCCUACGUCGGACAGGUCUCGUUGUAGGCCAGCCCUUCGAUCUCUAGAAGGCAAGCCUGGUGUCCUCCUCUCAACCUUCAAUGCUGACCCUGGCAGCAGCCAUGAUUGAUCCUUCAUACACUAAACUGAAGAAACCUCAUCACGAGUUUCAUCAUGCAUGGGAGUCGAAGACAUUAGAUGAAGAUCACAUUCUGUACGCAGCAAUGGAUGCCUACCUUUUUUUAAAUAUCUACAAGGGUUGGAUGAAGAAGCAGAGCCCAGUGUCCGGUUCAAGCAAAGAAGCAUCGGCGAAGAGGAAGAGGAAGAGGGACCAGGACGAAGUCGAGGACGUGGAAUCGGACUCCGAGUAGGUGGCAGUGCCGUCGCUCAUGCUGGUUCUAGUGCAGUGUCAAGCAGACUAGUUGCUUAGUUUAUUUUCAAGGGUGUGUUGUGCUGAGGCCCCAGCAGAACUAAGUUUAUGUUCUUUCUCGUUAUUUGAACUCUUUAGUACAUACAGUAGUACUAGUACUAUGUCUUACUACUGUUCUUCUUGUAGUUGGUACUACUGCUCGUAUCUUCGUGUUCCUACUAUACUUAAUACGUUCAUACUAGUAGUAUAAUUUGGGUCAGUCGAUUUGUGAAAGAAGUUCGACGGAGCGAAGGAAGAAGACGGCAGAAGAGGUGGAAGAAGCCCUUCUAGCCAUCCAUGUUGCUCACAAGAGUCGACUGACCCAAAUUGCUCCUUCAGAUUGCAGGAUCCAUGUGGCAUUCAAGGUCUCGAAGGUAGAUUCCGUGUCCGCACCCGGUUUGCGGACUCGACACGCGCGCGACUGGCUUCCGCCGCGAUAGCCACCAUGCGCGCCUCCUCCGCGCGGGCGGAGACGACAAUGACAUGCUAGUUCCUCCUCGCCGGCGUGCUAGAGCACAUGCUCAUCCUCCUCUUCGUAUGCUACAUGCAUAGACGCAGCUCCACCAGCUGCUCGCGUGCUUGGAAGCACGGUGGCAUCGCGAGGAGGGACUGCAGACGACGUGAGCGGGCGAGCCUUCAGCUUCAUGGUACAGAGAUGGCGGCGACACAGCGGUGAUGGACGAGAAAUUGUUGGCCGGAGCAGGCGAGCGCUGGCAUGCGCAACGGCGGCGGCGGCAUAUUGAUGAGUGCACGUAUGGGAGCUUACUUUAGUUUUAUAUAAGGUUGGUCAAACUUAAAAGAAAAUCGUACUAGUACACGUAAACAUUAGACUUAGGCAGCGCUUUUAUUAGUUAGUACCACAACCACGAUACGGAAUCCUAUGCAAGCGCGUGAACCGCGGCCGCGCGUUCGAUCGAACGGUGCGUCACCAUGUCGCACUCGAAGGACAUCCACCGAACCUUUUUGUGUGUGUGAAAACAAUCCCCGAAUAUUGCUCAACUUUUUUUUCCUAGAAAAGUUCUUGACGCUGCAAUAUUUCCAUAUAUUUGAAUUUAGCUCCAGUUCAUGUUUAUUUAGAUUUGGACAUUUUAGGUGCGCCCUAGUUUUUUUUAAUACUGAUUUUGUGUGUGUGACUGAGAAAGAACGUGUGUAUGUGUCCAUAUGUGUGUUGUGGCAGAAGGGCAAUGUGGAUAUGGUGUGCGUGUGAUACAGACAUAGAGAGGUGUGAAUGUGCAAAUGAUCAUGCAUGAGUGAGACAUAGACAGAUGCCGAUACGUUGUGUAUACAUGAGAGAACGGUCUUCUAGUUUACUUGUGUGUGUGUGUGUGAGAGAGAGAGAGAGGAGCAUCCGUAACACAACAACCAUCUCUCUCGAUUUGUUUGUCCCUCGCAUGAUCGCAUGUAACACAUGCAUCAACGCGCACAUUUUGACACCCUCACCCGGCCCCUGCCCACCUCAGGGCCCGCACAAUCUCUUCGUGAAUACCCAUUUCUCUCCUUAGGUUUGUUUUCUCUCAAUAUCUGACACACACACACACACACACAGAGAGAGAGAGAGAGAGCACAACACACACAACCUCCCCGAGCACACAAUUAAUCCCCGUCCAAGGUUAUACGGCAACCACUCUCGCUUGUGCUUCUUUGCACCCCCAACAUGCACAACACCUCAAUCUUCAAAGAGGGCAUCGAGGAGAUCGAAGACGACGACCACACCGCGCUAGAGAAUGCGGGGCCAUUUGGAAGCAGGAUGAUGUGAUGACGGCUGAUUGACUCCUCCCCCCACCCUCUCUCUCUCGCACAAAAUUACCAAUCCGUCUCUCCCCCGCACAAAAUUAUCAAUCCCUCAACCCACGAGAUCCUUCCCCUCUCGUCCAUGUUUUUCCAGCUCUCUCAUCAAACAUGUUGUCUCGUCUGCUUCCACGUAUACAGAAUCCGGAUGCACAUGCAUCUCACGUAUAUUACAUGUCUCCAUCUUUCUCACAAACCUAACUUCUUCCUCUCUCUUUCUCUCUCUAUCUCUCUCUCUCUGUCUCGUUAGGUUUGUCUCCUACGCUCUCAUCCACAUACAUACAAUCUUUCCCGCCCUAUCUGCUCCAUCUUCGCAAGCUCUCUCAGCACGUUUCAUUAACACAUUGGGAUAUGUUCAAAAUGUUGCUUCUAUAAUGGCUGAUGUAGAGUUAUGGUUGGUUUUGUUGCAUCCUACAAAGUAAUAACUAUGAAAUGCAUUUAGAUUCUCAUUUGACUGGGAUUAUGUGAGUUUGAGCAUGUUGUGAAGUACUAUAGACCUUGUAUACAUCUUGGGAUUCGACAAUGAUUGUAACUAUUGAAUUGUAUAGAACAUUACAUUCAAAGUCAAUAGCCUAAUAUAUUUAUUUCACAAUUUCAACAAAUGAUUAGUUCACUACAAACUAAGAAAACAAAUGUCUACUCCCUCCGUUUUUAUUUAAGUCCGCGUAUUAGCAUUGGCCAAAGUCAAGUUUUGUAAACUCUCAGAAAUCUUAUAACAAAAAAUAUUAACAUAUACAAUAACAAAUAAAUACCAUUAGAUUCAUUAUUGAAUGUACUUUCACAUCAUACAUAUUUGUUAUGGUAAAUGUUUAUAUUUUUCUAUAAACUUGGUCAAACUUUAGGAAGUUUGACUUCGGUCAAACCUAAUAUGUAGAGUUUACUACUACUACUCGCUAGUUGCUUAGCCGAAUCACUCAAGACGCCACACAGGGAGUUCAGUGUCACAAAAUUUUGAGGUUGGCGGGAAAAUCUCCUGCGGCCCUGAUUCGAGCAGUGGGAAGUUACCAUCAUAGCCUUUGGAAUAGGCCUACGGAUGACGCUUGGUAGGGGGCUGUUUUCGUAACUUCAGGUUCACCCUACCCAGCCAACCCCACUCCGGCACCCAGAGUAGUACACCUGAAUACUCCCUAUUUUCUAUCCCCACCGCAAAGUAGACUUCUCCACGGCACCGCAGCCUUCGUGCUCCUCCCCUUUACAUCGGCGCACUCGUCCAUCGCAGUGCAUCUGCCUCAUCGAUGACCUCGUACGCCGCACUGGAGCCGAUCCACCGUCAUCGUCAUACUCGGAGCCUCUUCCCCGGCAUCGUCUUCCACGGUCUCGGAUCUGCUUCCUGGAAGCCGAUGCCAAGUGCAGAAGCACCACCGUCGUGGAAAAUGAACUGACUCCCAUUGCCGACCAUGACACACAUAGGCCGCUGCGACCAUCGUUCAUCGUUCUCCUCCUCGAUUGGUAAUGUGUGUAUUGAAUCACUUAGCAGUACAUGUGCAGUUCCAAUUUUGUUCAUACCUGGCCUUCAAAUUUCCUGGGUGCUAUUGUUCCUGUAAAAGUAAUUGGUUAUAGCCUCCAUUGUCCAACAGAAUAUCAGCUUGUAAUUGUGCGUCGCUCCUGUAUCGCGCUGUGCUUGGGUAGGUUUUUCAUCUGCAACCAGUAGUGUGGCAAAUGAUGGAAAGUUUUUUAGAACUAGCAAGAUGCCCAUGCAUUGCACGCAUCAAGAUGCAUUUGUAUGAGUACUUUAUCUUGUGGGAGAAAAGGAUGAACGAGGGAAGGCCUUAUUUGCAAAUCUGGAGAGGGGUAUGGGUAUCUUUUUGCAAAAUUCCCAUUGUUUCCUUCCUAUCUGUCAGAUAUAAAUCGGACGGCCUAUAUUGCAAGAUGGCAGGCACACCAUCAUCACCAACUCUAUUUUUUUAUAAGAAAAAAAAAGUACAGAGAAAAAAAAGUAGAUAGUAGAGAAGUAGAGAUAAAUAUUAAAUAUUAAAUAUUAAAUAAAUAUAAUAGUAGAGAAGAGAGUAGAUAUAGAAGAGACGUCGGGAAAGGAUCGUGCGCGCACGGGAAAAGCGGCCGGGUGUGCGCUAGUUUUGGCGCGCGGCGUCCGGCGCACUUUAUAAAAUCCAACGCCCUCCCACCGCUCUGUGCCUUGCCACCGCUCUCUCCCCGCUUUGUGCCUCACCACCGCCCUCUCCUCGCUCUUUCUUGCCUUGCCGCCGCCACGCCACCAUGCCGCCGCGUCGCCGAGAAACUUGGGGAUGCCAUGGCGUCCGCGCGCGCCCCUCUGAAGGCUUCUCCGCCGAGAUCUGGUUCCGCGGGAUGCACCUCGGCCUCGGCAAUUUCGACACUGCCAAUGAGGCCGCCCGCGCGUACGACGCGGCGGCGUGGAGCCUCCGAUGGCCUCAUAGAAUAUUGAACUUCCCCAACGUGCCGACACGGGAGCAGGCACAGGAGCUCGCGCCUCUGCCGCGGCUUAGCACCGACGAGGAUCGUCGCGACAACCGGAGGCGGGAGCACCAUCUCGGCAUCGCCGAGAUGGAUGAGGAAGCCAUGGCGCUGUGGCGCCAACACUUCCCGCAGGACAUGAUCAACGAGCGUGAGUUCUACACGCAAAGGAGGGCGGAGAGGGAUAAGAGGAGGGCGGAGCGAGCCGCCUAUCGCGAGGACAAGCGUAGGCGAAAAGCGGACGCUCAAUUCAACAUGAGGCUAGGAGCAGCGUCGCCCUGGGAAUCCGAUGAUGAUCGGUAUCUUCACGCCUACAGUCAGACGUCGGAGGAGGACAUAACCGAGGAGGAGUCGGACGACGAGGAGUAGUUGAAUUAUCUUUUUUUAUCUAUCUAUGCUGAGAACUAUUCUCUACUCUCUAGUCCCUACUCUCUAUCUCUACUUCUCGAUCUCAGCAUUGUAAACACUUUUUUAAAGCGCCGCGCAUUGUGAUUCUGUUGGAGAUGCUCUAACAUGGCAGACGAGUGCUUUAAUGUUGCCCACAAGAUGCGCGAGUAUUACUAGUAGUAUAUUUUUCUUGCCAUGUUGAGAUUUUAAAACCACGAGUGCGAACAUACAGAGGAGCAAUGAAGACCAAACACGGGAUAUUGGGGACAUCUUCAAGGAGUGUGGCAAGUUAAAGAGGAGCUGCACCGAACCUGUAAAACGAGCUUUGGUAAGUAACACCCUAUCAAUUGCUUUCGUUUAGCCUCGUGUUCUUCGAUGUGUAUAUGUUGUAAUUUCUGUUUCUCUUAAGCCUGGUGUUCUUCGAUGUGUAAUAAGAAGAGUCUUAAUCAUCCUAAUGCUUUCGUUUUUAGGUUGAUGUAGGAAGUGGGUGUUCUCACCUUGUAGUCUAUUUUUAUAUAUAUAUUUUUCCUUUUGAAUUCACUUCUUCGAGUUCUGUUUAUCUGGCUUCUACUAAAUGGAUCUGGGUUGCUCUGAGUAUUGAUCUAAAAAAGAAGUAACUUCAUGUCAGGAUGCAGUUCCUUCGAGGAGGGAAGUAUGGUCAACCUCGAGAUCAUGUUUCCAAAAUGAGGCUGGAUUACACACAAGGUGCCAGUUCCCUAAUGAUGCUGGAUUAGACACAAGGUGCAAAUUCCCAGAUGAUGCUGGAUUACACACAAGCCAGGUGGAGUCGUUAGCUGUUCGUGUCCUCGUGGCUCUAGUAAUGGCUGAAAGAAAGCGUGCAGCAGCCCUUGAGAAUGUAGCUGAGUUCCUGAAGAAGCGAAAAGAGCAGUCAGAUGCUCUCUUCACCCAAGCCAAAGAAGAGAUGGAAGAAGCCAGAAAUAAGCUAGCAGUGGCGGAGCAGGCUAGGCGUCUCCUGCUAUCUAAAACCGUUGUCAAUACAAAAUUUCCUUCAUAAUAGCUAGGUUCAAAUGUUUAUCCAGUCAACAUGCCUGUUGUGAUGUCCGUGCAUCUACUGACGUGGUACAAAAUAUUUUUUUCGGGUCAUGUAAUAACAGCAAUUACUUUCCAAACAAUAACAGACGAAGCAUUGGACAUGGUAUUCACGCGCAAGCCCAACAUUCCAAGUUCAACUUCCACAUCAAACUCAUGUUCACAGAUAUCUGCACAUUCAUACAUAAUGUCCACAACCAUGAUUCACUUUGAAGCCAAAAAAAUGUGAGGAGAGUUAUAAAUAAAGAAAAACCUCUACUAGUUACUGCUACCAGUGCGAGCACAACAAGUCAAGACCAUGCGUAAAUUAAUUAUAUUUUAGUCAUUUUUUGUGUUCUAAAAUGCAUGCCGGCUCGCGGAAGGACAUGUUGCCAGCACACGUGCGGAUUCAAUGAAGGCAGGCGGGGCAGUCUUAAGCUGGUUGCACGCGGUGAGGAGGCGUGCUCAGCCGGGCCUGCAGCGAGUGGGGCCCUCUUGGCCGGCGCGCCGGUUCAAUGCCUGCGCUAUGAGAGGUCGCGUCCGUGUUAGAGAAAUCACUCCCUCCAGUCCUUUUUUGUUUGGGUAUAACAAAAUCUCAUUUUCCAUUCACAUUUUACAAGUAAAAUUCGUGGACAAACUUUGACCCAAAAUAAGAUGGGGACUAGUAAACCAGAAUGGAGGUAGUAGUUUUUUUUAAUCAAAGAAGGGUUUCCCCUUCCGAUUUUCAUUACUGAAAACCAGCAUCUAAAUCUAAACCAUAGUAUUUGCCCUAGAACUACCAGGUUCAACAUCUCGCAACAUAAACCCAUACAACCAUGCGCCAAGGAGGUACGUAGUACUAUGAAUUCCAUUUUUGCUCCAUACCAAUCAUUCUAAAAACUACUUAGUACUUAUAACGCGCCAUUGAAAAUCGGAACACUUAACCCCGCUAAAAAAAAUGAUAUUUUAAAUGUGGCUACUCGAUCUGUGGCAACUGGCGAGCCACCGCGCUCCAAGUCGUUCACCUGUGGUCCCGACCAUCAACUCCUACGGAUCAAAUUAUCACGCGUGCUGACUAUUCCUACAAAGGUGCUCCACCACGUACCCGGUACCCGCGAAUGCAGCAAUCGUGCACCUAGGGUUUUAGGGUUUAUUUGUUAACGUCGCCUUUACGUAACACUCAUGUGUGCGAGACAGUGAGAGGCCGAUUGCGUGCGUGCGCCUCUUCUCUUUGUAUAUAUACUCCACCAUUUGUCUGGUGUCCAAAAAAUUAUAAUAACUACUAGCAAUGUGCCAAUGCGUUGCCACACGAUCAAAGAAGAUUAAUACAUAUUCACCGAUUUGAUAGAAAAAAAAGUCUAGUUUUGAAAUACGUAUAUCACUAAAAAUAUGUUAUGUUUCACUCAAAAUAUAUUCCUUUGGCGGUUUUGAUGAGAUAAGGGAGGAAUGUUGUUGGUUUCAAGAUUCGAGAAGUGGUAUAUGUCUAAUUUCUACUCUUACUAGCAAGAUGUCUGUGCGUUGCACGGAACAUUGGCCUUUACGCAACCAAUUAGUUGACAUCUAAAUAAAAUGCUAACCGAAACGGGAAAAUAAAAUGCUCACCACGACCACCUAAAUAUUUAUGUUUACUACUCAAGCAAAUAACAAUAUUGCACGCAACUUCGAAAAAUAAAUGUUUGCUCAAAUAUACCCUUGAAGCGUGCGCGCGAACGACGAACGGCGGCCUUGAAUCACCGGUACCGGAGCCGGAAACUCCACCAAACUCCCGCAGCUUCACCUCCACCACCACCUCCACCUCCACCAUCGCCACAACCUCCACCUCCGCCUCCACAACCUCCACAAAUGAGCUGAAAAAAUGCUCCAACAAAAUCUUCACCACAACCACCACAAGCUACCCCAUCAGUAGAUCGAGGUGUCUUUUGGCUCCUCUAGCUAAGUAGAACCCAUUCACGGUGCCAAAUCCGCAAAAAAACAGGUCAUUUUGGUGUAUUAAUUGGAGCUAUUUCGGGUUGGAGAGAGGAGGAACCAAGAACAGAGAGAUGCGCAUGGUGGUGGGGAAAGGAAACGGGAAGGAGGAAGGAGAAAAGAGGCAGCGCUGGGGUCCGCUCCCUAUCGGCCAGCAACCGGCCGAUCGGUCGGCAGCUGGCCGACUGGGGCGCCCGUGACCCAGCCCGCGCCGACAGCUCCCGGGCGACGUGGAACGGCCAAUAGUUGGCCCACGCGUGGCCGAUUGCCCACCUGUCGGCCCGCAGUUGGCCGAGAAGGCCCUGUCGGCCUGCAGCUGGCUGACUAGGCUCAGUCGGCCAGCUGCUGGCCGAUUGGAUAAUAUUUUCGAAAAAUAUUAUAUCAGCGUAAUAUUUUUGUAAAUUAAUAAAAAAAUGUAUUAUUUAAAAAAAGUUAGCGAAAAAAAGGGACGUAUGGUCACUUGGCCGGCUGCUCGUGCAGAAGAGGCCGACUACUUGCUAGCCGACUGGUAAAAAAGAGAGAAGUCAAGGGCUGUGUGCCCAACCGACUGGCUAUGGAAAAAAUGUCCGGCUGCCCGGCCGAAGAGAAAAUAAUUAGAGGGAGGCUGGCCGGGUCAGCGCAGUACACCGGCUCCGGAAAAAAGAAAGAGAGAGAGAGAGAGAGAGAGAGAGAGAGAGAGAAAGAGGUCGGCUGGGACAAAGAGAAGAAAAGGAAAAAAAAGGUCCGGAUGACUCGUCCGCCUGCUUCAUCACUCGGAGGGUCAGUCAUGACCCGCGCUGUCGGCUGUGCCAAACCGGCUGGGCUGCCUCCUGCUCUGACGCUACACCCAGCGGGUGCGCUAACGCGCCCCUGCGAGAAAGAAGACAAAGUAGUUGCUGGGAGAUCCGGCCUGACUGCUUAGCAGUUAGCCCGAAUCUCGGGGGCUACACCUAGCGGGUGCACUGACACGCUCCCGCGAGCAAGAAGACAAAGUAGUUGCCGGGAGAUCCGGCCCGACUGCUCAGCAGUCGGCCCGAAUCUCGGGGGCUACACCCAGCGGGUGCGCCGACGUGCCCCCGCGAGGAAAGAAGACAAAGUAGUUGCCGGGAGAUCCGGCCCGACUGCUCAGCAGUCGGCCCGAAUCUCGGGAGCUACACCCAGCGGGUGCGCUGACACGCCCCCAUGAAGAAGAAGACAAAGUAGUUCCCGGAAGAUCCGGCCCGACUGCUCAGCAGUCGGCUUGAAUCUCGGGGGCUACACCCAGUGGGUGCGCUGGCUCAUGGAAGAUUGCAAACAAGAGAAGAGUUUUGUCCGGCUGCCAGCAGCCGGCAGAAGAAAAAGAAGAAAAAGGGCGUUGCAAGAUGCCUCGCCGCCUGGCCGGUCGAGCCUGACCGGCCGGGAGCCCCCUUCGACCACCCGGGGGCUCAAAGGAUACACCCAGCGGGUGCGCCGGCGCACUCCGCAAGCGCCGAGCCGCGCUGGCUGUCUUCGGCAAACUCCGCCUCGGCUACACGAAAAUAAAUGUGAGCUCCUCACCCGCAUAUUUUGCACCACGCAAGCAUGGAUAACCUCGAGCAAUGCUCGGUGGCUAUCUCCGCAUUUUAUUACAGUUGCAUCACUGUUCGCCCCAGCGCCAGCCAGAGUUGGCCCGGGGGCUGGCCGCUUGGCCUGAGACGUUAGUUCUCGCAGACGGUUUAGUAACGUGCGCGAUACCAAAGGCCCACUCUCAGUCACAGACCGUAGAGCGGCUGUCCGGCUGGCAAGAGUGAACGCUAGAGGCCACCCACGCGAAAAACGUCCGGGAAGAAAAAUGCUUCGGGUGAUCCGGCCGUUUCCUUUAUGAGUAUCUGCUCGGUUAAAUCCGCUCCCAGAGUCUGAGUACUGUACACUCCACUUCGCGGCCCACUCUCAGCCACAGACAGCAGAGCGGCUGUCCGGCGAGCGAGAGCACAAGCCAAAAAGCGGAGGGAACACGAAAAAGAUUGAAGGGGGCUCGGACGAAACCGAGUCGGCACCCUACGCAUAAAACUUGCAAUGCUAAAAGCAAUCAUUUGAUAUAUCUUCGUGGACUAACUUUGUCUUUUGCAUGAUCAUUUCCAUGAACACCCACCAAAAAACCUCCGCCCAACUUUGCCAGGUUGCCCGGAGGCUUGGGGGCUACUGUCGGAGUAAUUGGCGAUGGGUACCCCGAAGAUGGCAAGACAAUAAUUCAAGACAUCGGGGCUAGCAAAGCCCCUCAGUCUGACUGCUCGGCCGCUCCUGCCGGCUUCCCGUCCGUCUGCUCUGCCCGACCGGCUGCCGGCUGCCGACUGUGCCAACCAGCCGGCUGCCGACUACGCCAACCAGCCGGCUACCGACUGCAGCCCGACCCGACACUGACAAGACACCAACGGGACGACCAUACUGCAACGUCAUCUACAGUGUACCGUGUCCCCUGGGUACUGAUUUAUAAAGUACCCCAGGGGACAAGAAUGACAUGCACCAUGCCACUAGCUAUGCCUACAUAGCUUGGCUUCUAAGCUACCCAAGGUAGCUUACAACCAAAGCCACUACCACCCAUGCCACUAGCUAGCUUACACAUUAAGCUAGCUACACACUAUAAAAGGAGGCCUCAUCCAUCCAUCCAGGAGGAUGGACUCCCACGGCCACACACUCCCCCACGACCAUGCUUGGCCACUAGAGCAUGCAUGCUCACUCCGGACACACACAUAUACAGAGUCAGAUGCCCAUGACACUGAUCCCAGAUACAGCUCUAGGAGCACUUUGUACUGCCUGAUGUACACCCGAGAUAUAUACUCAGACAUGCAGGAGUAGGGGUGUUAUCUCUCCGGAGAGCCCCGAACCUGGGUAAACUACUGCGUGUUAUUCGCAUACCCGCUCCCGGGCCUAUCAGCGGCAGUCUUGCCCUCACACGAAGCCACCUUGUGGCAUAUGUCGUCUUGCACCCCCCCCCCCCGUGAGAAUACCACGACAUCAAUGAUUUACAUUAUAUUGUUGUAACUAGGCGACGGUCAAUCUAGAUAGUCAUGAUGAGCAAAGCUUGCUUGUGCUUUUCAAGGAAGCAUUGCAGCAGUAUCGAUGUUACCUGAGGAAAUCACACUUUCAUGGCAAGUCUAUAAACGAAUUUCCGGUGAAGUCUCCUGUGCUAAAUUUAGAAGACAUUGAAUGGAAAAACCUUGUUAUGCACUGGUCUCGUUCACAGGAUGAGGUACUGUCUAUGAAAUCACAUGACAAUUUGAACUUCAACUUUUCCGCAUGUGCCUUACGGAUCUUUUUUGCAGGAAAUCUGCUCGAAGAAGAAUUCUGGUUUGAAAAGAACGACAGGAUAUUGCAAAUAUGUUGCCCGCUGCUUUGCUCUUGUUAGUACCUGUUGUCCCAAGAAAAAGUAUGAAGCUCAAUUCUCUACUUGGCUAGAUGCUUGGCUGUAAACAUUUGUAUAGUUCCCUUUGUUCUUUUUUCAGUCCCUAUUUCUUUUAGCUAUAGAUUAGUUUUCUUUUUUAGUUUUCUUCUUCUUUUUUGUUUUUCAUUCUUUUAUGUGGGCUUACCUCAAGCCCCCAAGACAAUUGUUGUUUAUUUUCUAUUUUAAUAAAAGCUGCAGUGGGGUGUUUACCCUACUGUUUAUAGUCAAAAAAAGUAUCUGUUGUCCUGUAUCACUGUACUUGCAUACAUACCUAGUUCAUUAUGUGACAGCAGUAUGCAUGAUAGCUUGCUUAUUAAUUGUUUGCUCCAAAUUAUCUAAUCUGUAUGAAUGGUUACAUUAGUGUAGAAUAUAUCCAAUGCCAAUGAAUUUUUUUAGCUCUGCAUUGUUCUUGUAAGUACAUGUUGUCCUUUAUCAGUGUACUUAUAUUGACUGGUAGUUGUUCAUGUACCAUCACUCUGCAGCUUAUUUUCCUUCGCCCUCCACUUUCUACACACCAGAUCUAUAUUUACUCUUACCAUAAGGUUGGUACUGAAGAAUUUUAGCUGUGCAUUGCUCUUGGCUGUACCUUUUGCCUGUAUCGCUGCACUUACAUUUAUAGCUACUUGUUUAUGUAGCAUCACUCUUCAUCUUAUCUUAAAUAUUCUCCAUUUUUUUAUAUUAUCACAUCUAUAUUUACUCUUAACAAAAUGUAGAAUAAAGGCAAUGCUUAUGAAGAAGAUUCUAUGGUAAACUUCUUGAAUUGCCCCCCCCCCCCAUCAGCAUGGACAAGGGCUUUAUAGAGCCUGACUUCACCAAUAAUGUAAGUUUGUCCUUCUCAAGCCUUCAAACUUUGUUGUGUAUAUUUGGUUAGGCAUGACUGCAACAGCUAUUUAUUUUUGGUGUUUGCAUCAAAUUGCAUGUUUAAAGUUUAUUAUGUAGUUCAUAAACAAAAGUUUGUCCUUCUCAAUUUAAGUUUUCAGUUGUACAACCAAGUUCCUUCUUCAUACCAUGUAAAUUAAACUAUACAGAGCAAGUGAUCUUCUUUUGCACUGCAUGUAUGCUUCAGUUCUUCAUCCGUAAUCCAGUGGUGUGGUGAACCUACCCACUACAGCACAAUGUCACAUUCUGCAAUGUCUUAACUAUGAACAAUGUCAUAUCAUUCUACUAUUAUUUAAACCAUCUCUUUAUUUGCCAAUCUGAAAUGGGAUAAAUUGACAGCACACUAACCAUUGAUACUUAUGAGUUCGUGAUCUGUAAUCCAGUGGUGUCGUGAAGCUGCCAACUCCUUCACAAUGUCAUUUCCUGCCAUGUCUUGACCUGAACAAUACCAUAUAGUGUUAAUGCAAUUUUAAACUGUGUCACUUUAUUCGUUAGUAAAAAAUGUGAUGAAUUGUCAGCACGGAUACUUUUAUGUGCAAAACCUGUCAUUUGUCUGCUUGUUUAUCUUUCAGAGUGAGGAAGAUAUAAGUGUUGAACAAGCGUAGUCUCAUCAGCUUGCUCAGCUGCUUGGCUGCAGCUCCCCAGCAGGGCUAACCUUUCUUGAACUCUAUUGAAUUGCUAUCGGUUUUGUAUAUUAUUUUGUCGGCGUGUUUAUUUGCACUCGUGGCGAUCUUUGAUGCCCAUUGUAUGUAAUAUGCUGUCUGUUUGUGCUUUAUUAUCAUAGUGGCGAACUUUGAUGCCCAGUGGAUGUAAUAUGUCGUAAUUUCUUUAUUGUAUAGUCUAGGUUUUUUUCUUAUUCACGAUGCUGCAAUUAUUUUACUGUAUAUAUAUCUUGUCUUCGCAGUAAACCGGCCAAACCAUAAAAUUACGGUACAUAAUCGGGCCGUCAUGCAAUCACGAUGUAUGAUCCGCAUCAUGGGCCCCGUCAUCUUGGUCCGUUAAAAGGCCAAAAGUAAACUAGCCCACUAGUAGAUUCGGGCCUUUAAUAGGCCGAGUAACCCCUGGCCCUCUUUUCCCAAGAAAACUCAAUGGGCUUUUAGGAGGCUAAGAAGUAGGUUGGGCCUGAAACGUGCCGAACAGCUCACGGGCCGGCAACAGCCUGAAAUGGACCCCGGCCCAUGAUUGUGCGAAUCAAAUCACAGGAUUUUAAUAGGCCAAAAUUGUCUUGGUCCUUGUUUGGCCCAAUCAGAUAUCGGCUGCGAGCAGGCCGGAUGCAAACUGGGCCGUAGUUAGGCCCAACUAUAUGACGGGCUUUUAACAUGCCAAAAUUAAUAUAGGGCUGAAAUGUUAAACGGGCCCUUAACAGGCCGAAACUAAUAUUAGGCCGAAUUACUAAAUGGGCCAUUAGCAACUGGGCCCAAAAGCAUAGCGUCCAGUUGACGGGUCGAAUCUGAUAUGGGCCAUAAUUUAGCCCAAAGCCUCUUAAAGGGACGGACCUGAUCUGGGCCGUAAUUUGGCCCAGAACGUGGUAGGCUUUUAACGGGCCGGAUCUCAUAUGGGCCAUUAUUAGGCCCGGAACGUGGCAGGCCAUUAAUGGACCGGACCAAAUAUAGGUCGGCAUUUGGCCCAAAACAUGGCAGCCAGUUAAUGGGUCGGCCUACUAGGGUCCUCAAAAUCUUGUGGGCCUACAGCUGGGCCAACCCAUUAAUGUCGGUGAAAUCUCAUGGGCCUUUAGCUCGGCUGGCCCAUUAUGAUCCACAAGAAUCUUGUGGGCCUUUACCUGGGCCGGCCCAUUAUGGCACACAAAAAUCUUGUGGGCCUUUACCUGGGCCGGUCCAUUAUGGCCCGCAAAAUCUUGUGGGCCUUUAGCUGGGCUAGCCCAUUAUGUUCCACAAAAUCUCAUGGGCCUUUAGCUGGGCUGGCCCAUUAUGGUCCGCAAAAUCUUGUGGGCCUUUAGUUGGGCCAGCCCAUUUAAACUUGAUGGGCCGGUCCACAUGUCAACAUGUCAUAGGCGCGUCUCGCCCAUUGGAUGAGUGACACAUGUGCCAACGUGGAGCUGACACGUGUCUACUCUAGCCAAUGAUGAUUUUACACGUGGAAAAUCCCCAUUGGUCGGGGCUGUUAACGGGUUAUCGGAUCCAAAACCCGACCCGAUAGCUUAACGGCGUUCCGUUAUGGUGGAUGCCACGUGUCGGUCACGCUUGACGAAAGCACUUCUGUGACGCGCGAUUUAUCGUCAUGGAAGUGGAAACUUCCGUGAUGAUAAUUUUGGUAAUGUCAUGGAACACUUCUACAACAGCACAGGUAUGACUAUCUUGAUUCUGUCAUAAAAUCGUCAUGGAUGUACAUGCAUGACAAAAAACGCGACCUAUUGUGACAAACACAUAUCAUCACGGAAGUGUAUUUUUUGUAGUGGUGGUAUGUAUUUAGCAACAAUAUAAUUAGCAUAGUCAGCAUACCAAGGUGUACUAUUAGAAACAUUUAUUGCAACUAAUUGUUCAUCAGGAAAGCUAUCAUUAAUAGGUUGUGGGUCAUCAAGAAUAUUUUCAAGCCUAGACAAGUUAUCAGCUACGGGGUUCUCUGCUCCUUUCCUAUCAAUGAUAUGCAAAUCAAAUUCUUGUAGCAGAAGAACCCACCUAAUGAGUCUAGGUUUAGCAUCUUUAUUUUCUAUAAGAUAUUUUAUAGCAGCAUGAUCGGUGUGAACAAUUACUUUAGAGUCAACAAUGUAAGAUCUGAAUUUAUCACAAGCAAACACCACUGCUAAGAAUUCUUUUUCAGUAGUAGCAUAAUUUUGUUUAGCACUGUCUAGAGUUUACCUAGCAUAAUGAAUAGCAUUCAGUUUCUUAUCAACUCUUUGUCCUAGAACAACACCAAUAGCAUAAUCACUGGCAUCAUACAUAAUCUCAAAAAGCAAGUUCCAAUCAGGUGGUUGAACAACAGGUGCAGUAAUUAAGGCUUUCUUUAGUGUUUCAAAGGCUUCCAAACAAUCAUCAUCAAACACAAAGGGAAUAUCCUUUUGCAAAAGAUUCGUAAGAGGCCUGGAAAUUUUAGAGAAGUCUUUGAUAAACCUCCUAUAGAAACCAUCAUGACCAAGGAAACUACGAAUACCUUUGAUAUCUUUAGGACAUGGCAUUUUCUCAAUUGCAUCAACCUUGGCUUUGUCCACCUCAAUGCCUCUCUCAGAAAUUUUAUGGCCCAAGACAAUACCUUCGUUAACCAUAAAGUGGCACUUGUCCCAUUUCAAGACGAGAUUUAAUUGUUCACAUAUCUGCAAGACUUGAUCAAGAUUGCUUAAACAAUCAUCAAAAGACUUCCCAUAAACCGAAAAGUCAUCCAUGAAAACCUCAACAAUCUUUUCACAAAAUCAGAGAAUAUAGCAAUCAUACAUCUUUGAAAGGUAACAGGUGCAUUACAUAAACCAAAAGGCAUAUGUCUAUAAGCAAAUGUUCCAAAAGGACAAAUAAAAGUGGUCUUUUCUUGAUCAGGUUGUAAAACAGGUAUUUGUGAAAAAAAAAAUAGAAUAUCCAUUAAGGAAGCAAAAAAUGUGUGUGCUUGGAUAAUCUUUCUAACAUUUGAUCAAUAAAAGUCAGAGGGUAAUGAUAUUUUCUAGUUGCUUUGUUUAAUUUUCUAUAAUCAAUUACCAUCCUAUAGCCUAUGACAAUUCUUUGUGGAAUAAGCUCAUUCUUAUCAUUAGGAACAACAGUAAUACCUCCUUUCUUAGGGACACAAUGAACAUGACUUACCCAUCUACUAUCAGCUAUAGGAUAGAUUAUAUCUGCUUCCAAAAGUUUCAAUAUUUCCGUUCUUACCACUUCUUUCAUCUUUGGAUUUAACCGCCAUUGGUGAUCAACAAGGGUUUAGCAUGAGGUUCCAUAUUAAUCUUGUGCUGACGUAGAGUGGGACUAAUGCCCUUAAGAUCAUCAAGAGUAUAUCCAAUAGCAGCCAUGUGCUUCCUUAGAACUUUCAAUAGUCUUUCUUCUUCAUGUUCUGAAAGGUUAGCACCAAUAAUAACAAGAUAUAUCUUUUUCUCAUCAAGAUAAGCAUACUUCAAAGUGUCUGGCAAUUGUUUUAAUUCAAACACAGGAUCGCCUGUAGAUGGAGGAGGACCUCCUAGAGUUUCAAUAGGCAAAUUGUGUUUAAGCAGAGGUUGUUGUUUGAAAAAGAUUCUAUCUAUUUCAUUUCUUUCACGCAUAUGCAAAUCAUUUUCAUGGUCUAGCAAAUAUUGUUCGAAAGGAUCAAUAGGAGGCACAGCAACAAAAGCAAGACCAAUAAUUUCAUCCUUACUAGGCAAAUCUUUCUUAUGAGGUUGUCUGCUAAACUUGGAAAAAUUAAAUUCAUGAGAUUCAUCACCAAAGUUAACACCAACAGUUUGUUUCUCACAAUCUAUUUUGGCAUUGGCAGUGUUCAAGAAAGGUCUACCAAAAAUAAUGGGACAAAAGUCAUCUUGUGGGGAGCUAAGAACAAGAAAAUUAGUAGGGUAUUUUAUUUUCCCACACAAGACUUCAACAUCUCUAAGAAUCCCAAUUGAUGAUAUAGUAUCUCUAUUAGCAAGUUUAAUAGUGACAUCUAUGCCUUCUAUUUCGGCAGGUGCUAUUUCAUCUUUAAUUUACUGAUAUAAGGAAAAGGAAUAGCAAUAACACUAGCAUCUAGGUCACAUAACCCAUGAUAAUAGUGAUCUCCUAUCUUAACUGAGACAACAGGCAUGCCAACAAUUGGUCUAUAUUUAUCUUUUCCUUCAGGUUUGGCAAUUCUAGAAGCUUCACCACAUAAGUAAAUAGCAUGCUCAUCAAUAUUAUCAACUAAGAGAUCUUUAACCAUAGCAACACUAGGUUCAACUCUGAUUUGUUCAGAUGGUUUGGGUGUUCUAACAUAACUUUUGUUAACCACAGUUGAAGCUUUAGCAUGUUCCUUCAUCCUAACAGGGAAAGGUGGUUUUUCAAUAUAAGCAGUGGGAACAAUUGGAUCAACAUUGUAAAUGAUAGUCUCUUCUUUAGCUUUCACCGGUUCUUUAGCUUCUUCUUUAAUAGGUGGGUGGUAUCUAAACCAUUUCUCCUUAUGGAGAUCAACAUGAGUAGCAAAAGAUUCACAAAAGGAAGCUACUAUCUCAGAGUCAAGUCCAUAUUUAGUGCUAAACUUUUGAAAAGCAUCGGUAUUCGUAAAAGAUUUAACACAAUCAAACUUAGGUUCAAUAACUGACUCUUUACCUUCGUCGAGUUCCCAAUCUUCAGAGUUGCAUUUAAUUCUUUCUAAAAGAUCCCACCGGAAUUCAAUAGUCUUCUUCAUAAAAGAAUCAGUGCAAGAAGUAUCGAGCAUGGUUUGAUCAUUACGAGAAAGCCGAGCAUAAAAAUUCUGAAUAAUAAUUUCUCUUGAGAGCUCAUGAUUGGGGCAUGAAUAUAACAUUGACUUAAGCCUCCCCCAAGCUAGAGCGAUACUUUCUCCUUCACGAGGCCAAAAAUUAUAUAUAUAAUUCCGAUCACGAUGAACUAGAUGCAUGGGAUAAAAAAUUUGGUGAAAUUCCAAUUUCAAACGGUUCCAGUUCCAAGAUCCAAUAUCAUCGCAUAGCCUAUACCAUGUCAAUGAUUUUCCCUUCAAAGAUAAAGGGAAAACCUUCUUCUUAGCUUCAUCUCCAGGCAAACCUACAAGCUUAAACAAUCCACAAAUUUCAUCCACAUAUAUCAAGUGCAUAUCAGGAUGUUCGAUUCCAUCUCCUGCAUAAGGAUUAGCUAGCAGUUGUUCUAACAUACCCGAAGGAAUUUCAUACUCAAUAUUUUCAGUAGGUGUAGUAGGUUGAGGGGCAAUUAAUUGUAGUUCCGUUCGAGGUGAAGAUACCCUGAACAAACCCCUCAAAGGAUUGUUUUCCAUAGUAGCAAGUGACAAUAAAUUUCAGCACGUAAUAAUAAUGUUUCCUUACCAAUUUCCACUUACCAAGAGCGCUUCACUCCCCGGCAACGGUACCAGAAAAUAGCCUUGCUGACCCACAAGUAUAUGGGGUCAAUUUUAGCCUUUUCAAUAAGUAAGAGUGUUGAACCCAAUGAGGAGCAGAAGAAAAUGACAAGUGGUUUUCGGCGAGGUAUUGUGUGCAAGUGCUAAAAUUGUAAGUAGCGGAGUAGUUUGAUAGCAAGAUAAUUUGUAAUGAGCAAGUAACGAUAGUAGUAACAAAAGUGCAUCAAGGUAGCCCAAUCCUUUUGAGGCAAAGGACAGGCCAAAACGGUCUCUUAUGAUAAGCAAAGUGUUCUUGAGGGUACACGGGAAUUUCAUCUAUUCACUUUCAUCAUUUUGGCUUAAUUCGUGUUCGGUACUUUGAUAAUUUGAUAUAUGGGUGGACCGGUGCUUAGGUGCUGUUCUUACUUAAACAAACCUCCUACUUAUGAUUAACCAUCUUGCAAGCAUCCGCAACUAUGAGAAAAGUAUUAAGAAUAAAUUCUAACCAUAGCAUUAAACUUUUGGGUCCAAUUGGUCCCUUACGGAAUAGCGCAUAAAGUGGGGUUUAAACUUUUGUCACUCUCGCAACCCACCAUCUAGUAAGUACUCCACAAUGCAUUCCCUUAGGUGCUAAUAUGGUGAAGUGUCAUGUAGUCGACGUUCACAUGACACCACUAAGAGAAUGACAACAUACAUAUCAUCAAAAUAUCAAACACAUAUCAAGUUCACAUGAUUACUUGCAACAUGAUUUCUCCCGUGACCUCAAGAACAAAAGUAACUACUCACAAAUGAUAAACAUGCUCAAGAUCAGAGGGGUAUUAAAUAGCAUAAUGGUUCUGAACAUAUAAUCUUCCACCAAAUAAACCAUAUAGUAAUCAACUACAAGAUGUAAUCAACACUACUAGUCACCCACAAGCACUAGUCUAUAGUUUUGGUACAAGAUUGAACACAAGAGAUGAACUAGGGUUUGAGAUGAGUUGGUGUUGUUGAAGAUGUUGAUGAAGAUAGCCCUCCCCAAGAUGGGAGAGUUGUUGGUGAUGAUGAUGGCAAUGAUUACCCCUCCGUGAGGGAAGUUCCCCCAGCGGAAUCACUCCACCGGAGGGCAAAAGUGCUCCUGCCAAAGUUCUGCCUCAAAGCGGCGGCGCUUCGUCCCAAAAGUCCUCCUCUGAUUUUUUUUUCUAGGUCAAAAUGACUUAUAUACCAGAAGAUGGGCACCGGAGGUGGGUCGAGGAGGGCAGCACCCACCAGGGCGCGCCUGAGCCUCCUGGCACACCCAGGUGGGUUGUGCCCACCUGGUGGCCCCCCUCUGGUACUUAUUUGCUCCAAUAAUUAUUAAAUAUUCCAUAAAAAUCCUCAGGAAGUUUCAGCUCAUUUGAAGUUGUGCAAAAUAUGUAGCUUGAUGUAGCUUUUUCAGGUCCAGAUUUCCAGCUGCUAGAAUUCUCCCCCUUGGUGCGUACCUUGCAUAUUAUGAGAGAAAGGGCAUUAGAAUUACUCCAAAAAGCAUUAUUAUACAAUAAAACAACAUGGAUAAUAGUAGGAAAACAUGAUGCAAAAUGGACGUAUUAUUCUCUAUGGUUCUUUUUGGUGGAUUUGAGUCAUAGGAAAAUCAUACUAUUAAGAGGGGGUCCGCUUCGGAAAGGUUAGGGUGGAAUCAUCACGUACACAUCUAUUCCUUUGCACCACCUUUCCUUCGCAUCAAUGGAGAACCGUCCAUUUAUCCAAGUCUCUAUGAUAUGAAGUUUGCCAAAUGCUAAAGCAUCUGUGACGUGCGGUAGUACUGCUCAAGGGAGUAGUAGUACCGCAGGUGUAGUACUGCUCAGCAGAGCGGUAGUACCGCUCCUGGUGAGCGGUAGUACCGCGGCCUCCAGUCCUGACGCUAGUGCAUGCGGUAGUACGCGCGGAUGUAAUUUUUUACUUCCGCCCCUUCGCGGUAGUACCGCUCCCUGUGAGCGGUAGUACCAUGCCGGAUUUUUGCACAACUCCAACCUCAGCUGAAGUAGUUACGGAUGUAAUUUUUUACUUCCGUGCUUUUUCCAAGCACCAAUUGAACCCUGCCUUACGGUAGUACUGUAGGGGCGCGCGGUAGUACCGCUCAUUGCCCUGUGCAACAGGCCCACACCUGAUCACUACCGCUCUAGCGGUAGUACCACAGCACUCUGCAGUAGUACCGCAGCACUCUGCCGUAGUACCGCAGCCUUGUGCAGUAGUACUGCGCCGUGCGGGCUGAGAAAGGGGAUAAUGGUUGGAUCUUUUCCCCCACUAUAUAAAGGGGGUCUUCUUCCCCAAGAAGACCACCUCUUCCCUCCCCAAGCUCCAUUGUUGCUCAAACCUCCAUUUUCGCAUGAUCUCUCUCCCUAGCCAAUCAAACUUGUUGAUUUUCUAGGGAUUGGUUGAGAAGGCCCCAAUCUACACUUCCACCAAGAGAAAUUUGAGUCCCCCACUAAUCCCUUGUGGAUCUUGUUACUCUUGGGUGUUUGAGCGCCCUAGACGGUUGAGGCCACCUCGGAGCCAUAUUCCAUUUUGGUGAAGCUUUAUGGUGUCAUUGGGAGCCUCCAAUUAAGUUGUGGAGAUAGCCCCAACCUUGUUUGUAAAGGUUCGGUCGCUGCCUUCAAGGGCACCAAUAGUGGAAUCAUGGCAUCUCGCAUUGUGUGAGGGUGUGAGGAGAAUAUGGUGGCCCUAGUGGUUUCUUAGGGAGCAUUGUGCCUCCACACCGCUUCAACGGAGACGUACUUCCUCUCAAAGGGAAGGAACUUCGGUAACACAUCCUCAUCUCCACCGGCUCCACUCUUGGUUAUCUCUUACCUUUACUUGUGCAAGCUUUCAUUGUGUUGUAUCCCGUGCUUGCUUGUGUGCUUGUUGUUGUUGCAUCAUAUAGGUUGCUCACCUAGUUGCACAUCUAGAUAACCUACUUUGAUGCUAAGUUUAAUUUGGUCAAGAAAAGCUAAAAAUUGUUAGUUGCCUAUUCACCCCCCCCCCCUCUAGUCAACCAUAUCGAUCCUUUCAUUAUCUCCAGACUAGAUCGUACAACCUCCCUCUCUCCCCACAGCAACGGGUGCUUGAACGGGCCAACUCCGGCCACCGGAUCCGCUUCCCCACCAGUUGCCGGCCCCAAUACAAUGGAUACAUGGUAGGAAGACCUCGUCUUCCACUGAGAUUCAGCGAGGCAAUUUUGCGGCGAGGCGUGUCUGUCCCGGCCAUCGACGGGCCCGAUGACGACGGCAAGGUAGUGGCUUCACAGGCUGGCGCCGGAUCCGGCACCCAUAAUGCAGCUCAGCAGCCUCCGUGUCCAUCCCAUCCCCAGCGAGAUCUGCGCGUGAGCACGAGCACCACGACGGGUCACGGCGCACGGGUGUAGCUGUAUCCGGCGACUCCAAGUCUGACCGCCACCGGAUCUGGUGAGUCAUGAAUCCCAUCUACCCUAACCUCUCUCCAUAUGCACUUCAUGAUUUCGGAUUUAUUUAGCAUGAUUUGAACAUUCUUUGUUUCUUUACCAUAUCAUCGGCUUCCCCUGCUACUUCAGUUUCAGAUAUUUGCAACUUGAUUUGAACAUUCUUUGUUUCUUUAUCAGAUCGUCGUCCUCCCCUGCUACUUCAACUUCAGAUAUUUGCAACUUGAUUUGAACAUUCUUUGUUUGUGAUAGGGAGCAUGGGUUAUAGUUUUUUGAAAGAGAUGGAGAUCUAUGAAAUUACUUCCCUGUAAUAUUUGAAUGUGGUGUUUGAUACGUCUCUAACGUAUCUUAUAUUUAUGAAGCAUUCAUGCUAUUUUAUUAUCUGUUUUGAAUGAUAUAGGCUUUAUUAUACACUUUUAUAUUACUUUUGGGACUAACCUAUUAACCGGAGGCCCAGCCCAUAUUGCUGUUUUAUUGCCUGUUUCAGUAUUUCGAAGAAAAGGAAUAUCAAACGGAGUCCAAACGGAAUGAAACCUUCAGGAGCGUGAUUUUUAGGAAGAAUAUGAUCCGGGAGACUUCGAGUUCACGUCAGAAGAUCCUCGAGGAGGCCAUGAGAUAGGGGGGCGCGCCCACCCCCUAGGCGCGCCCUACCCUCUCGUGGGCCCCUUGAGGCUCCCUCGACUGACUUCUUUCACCUAUAUAAGUCCACGUACCCUAAAAACAUCGACAACGAAGAUAGAUCGAGAGUUCCGCCGUCGCAAGCCUCUGUAGCCACCAAAAACCUCUCGGGAGCCCGUUCCGGUACCCUCCCGGAGGGGGAACCCAUCACCGGUGGCCAUCUUCAUCAUCCCGGCACUAUCCAUGACAAGGAGGGAGUAGUUCACCCUCGGGGCUGAGGGUAUGUACCAGUAGCUAUGUGUUUGAUCUCUCUCUCUCUCUUGUGUUCUCUCUAUGGCACGAUCUUGAUGUAUUGCGAGCUUCGCUAUUAUAGUUGGAUCUUAUGAUGUUUCUCCCCCUCUACUCUCUUGUGAUGAAUUGAGUUUCCCUCUUGAAGUUAUCUUAUCGGAUUGAGUCUUUAAUUUGAGAACACUUGAUGUAUGUCUUGCCGUGUUUAUCUGUGGUGACAAUGGGAUAUCAUGUGCCACUUGAUGUAUGUUUUGGUGACCAACUUGCGGGUUCCGCCCAUGAACCUAUGCAUAGGGGUUGGCACACGUUUUCUUGACUCUCCGGUAGAAACUUUGGGGCACUCUUUGAAGUACUUUGUGUUGGUUGGAUGAAUCUGAGAUUGUGUGCUGCAUAUCGUAUAAUCAUGCCCACGGAUACUUGAGGUGACAAUGGAGUAUCUAGGUGACAUUAGGGUUUUGGUUGAUUUGUGUCUUAAGGUGUUAUUCUAGUAUGAAUUCUAUGAUGGAUUGAGUGGAAAGAAUAGCUUUAUGUUAUUUUACUACGAACUCUUGAAUAGAUAGAAUAGAAAGGAUAACUUUGAGGUGGUUUCGUACCCUACCAUAAUCUCUUCGUUUGUUCUCCGCUAUUAGUUGCUUUGGAGUGACUCUUUGUUGCACGUUGAGGGAUUGUUAUAUGAUCUAUCUAUGUUAUUAUUGUUGAGAGAACUUGCACUAGUGAAAGUAUGAACCCUAGGCCUUGUUUCCUAUCAUUGCAAUACCGUUUACGCUCACUUUUAUCAUUCGUUACCUUGCUGUUUUUAUAUUUUUCAGAUUACAAAAACCUAUAUCUACUAUCCAUAUUGCACUUGUAUCAUCAUCUCUUCGCCGAACUAGUGCACCUAUACAAUUUACCAUUGUAUUGGGUGUGUUGGGGACACAAGAGACUCUUUGCUAUUUGGUUGCAGGGUUGUUUGAGAGAGACCAUCUUCAUCCUAUGCCUCCCACGGAUUGAUAAACCUUAGGUCAUCCACUUGAGGGAAAUUUGCUACUGUCCUACAAACCUGUGCACUUGCCGGCCCAACAACGUCUACAAGAAGAAGGUUGUGUAGUAGACAUCAAGCUCUUUUCUGGCGCCGUUGCCGGGGAGGUGAGUGCUUGAAGGUAUAUCUUUAGAUCUUGCAACCGAGUCUUUUAGUUUCUUGUUUUAUCACUAGUUUAGUUUAUAAAAGAAAACUACAAAAAAUGGAGUUAAGUUUGGCUCAUACGCUUCAUCUUUUUAAUAUCUUUCGUGAGUUUGAUGGAAAGGAAAAUUGUGCUCAAGUGCUAGAAGAAGAGUGCAUUAAAAUGCUUGGUACUGAAUUUUUGAAUGAUAAGCAUGAUUGCAAUGUUGUUAGUAUGAACUCUUUGAAUAGCCAUAGUACUUAUGAUGAUUGCACUAGUUAUGAUGAAAAUAUCUCCUAUAAGCAUGUCAACUUUUGUGGAAUGCAUGUUUGCAUGAACACACCAAAUAGAGAAGAUAUAUAUUGCAAGAGGCAUAAGCACUUAGAAACUAAAUGGUUGCAAGAAAGGCUAAAUGUGAGUGCUGAAAAUUUAAAUUUCCUUUGCCGUACUUGUGAACUUUGCAAUGAACGUGGUCAUUUACAUCUCCUAUGCAAAUUGUUUCAUGAACGAAUCGUGUCGAAAAAUUGUGAUGAUUUGAUUUCCCUUGCACAUUACAAUGAACUUAGUUUACUUUUGGGUUAUGAAGAAUUGAAACGUUUAAUUAAGGACCUUCCAGAAUUUGCCCAUAAGAAAUUCCUUGAUAUUGAUCUAGAGAAGAUUUAUUUGUAUUGUGCAGUGAAUUGCAUUGAAAAUCCUUAUAUUGCCAAUCACAUAAAGAAAAGAAAGCAAAUAGAAGAUGAUGAGAAUACUAAUGGAAGGGAAGAGACUUCCCAAUAUCCUCCUAUUAUUUCUUAUGAUGAGUCAGGUAACGAGGAGGAGCUUUCUAUUCAACCAAUCUUGUCAAUAAGGAGCUCAAAGAGGAAGGUUGAACCCACACAUAAUGUAAAAAAGAAAAGGAAAAGAAGGGGCAACAAAGGUAAAAAAGGUAUCCCUUCCAAAUGAUGUUGCUCCUACUACUCAUUGUGAUGAUGAUAAUUGCUACACUAUUGGUGCUAUCCAUAUUUUUAAUGAUGAGAGUGAUUAUGCUUAUGAUAUGAAAAUGCCCAAUCUUGGGGAAGCUAUGUUUGAUGAGGAUGAAGUAUUUGAGAAUAUAUUUGCUGAAAUUAAUGUUUGUCCCAAGCUUGGGGAUGCUAUGUUUAAUGAAGAUGAUAUUUUUAGCAUCCCAAGUUUUGAUAUUCAAAGUUGUUAUGAUGAUAGCAUGCCUCUUACCUAUGAUGAUUAUAUUGAUGAAAGUGGGUUUGGAAGAGUGUCAACUUUAGGAAGUAGUUAUCCCACUAUUUUGGAGGAUGUUGAAUCUUAUUGUGAUGAAUAUGAAAGUGGAUUUGGAAGAGUGUCAACUUUAUUUAGUGAUGAUUCCACUAUCUUGGUAGAGGUUUCAAUCGAUUAUGAUGAGAACGAAGUUGCUACUUAUGAUGAUUAUUGUGAUGAAACUUAUGCUAUAAAAAGUAGUAAUGAUUAUAUUUAUAAAACUUGUCAUGAUUAUAAUUACCCUUUUUCUGAACAUUACUCUUUUAAUGUGGAAACAAUUUUUAGUGUUCAAGUCUCUUAUGAUACUCCCACUAUUCCAAAUGAGAAGGAUUUUGCUUAUGUGGAGAGUAGUAAAUUUUCUAUGCUUGUAGAUCAUGAAAAUAAUGCUUUAUGUGCUGGUUAUAUUGUUGAAUUAAUUCAUGAUGCUACUGAAAAUUAUUAUGAGGGAGGAACAUAUGCUUGUAGGAAUUGCAAUAAUGUCAAGUUUCCUCCCUAUGUGCUUAAAAUCUUGAAGUUAUGCUUGUUUUGCCUUCCUAUGCUAGUUGAUUAUUGUUCCCAUAAGUUGUUUGCUCACAAAAUCCCUAUGCAUAGGAAGUGGGUUAGGCUUAAAUGUGCUAGUCAUAUGCUUCAUGAUGCUCCCGUUAUGUUUCAAUUCUUAUCUUUUAUGUGAGCAUCAUUGCCAUCAUCAUGCCUAGCUAGAAAGGCAUUAAAGAAAAGUGCUUGUUGGGAGACAACCCAAUAUUUACCUUUACUGUUUUUGUGUGUCAAUAUGAUUAUGCUACUGUAGUAAUCAUGUUUUAUAUCUUUUUGUUUCAAUAAAGUGCCAAGUAAGACCUUUAGGAUGGCUUACGGUGAUAGUUGUGUUGAUCCUGCUGAAAAUCAGAAACUUUUGCACCCAGUAAUUUAGUUUUGUUAAUUCAUAGAAACGUGCUUAUGAUCUGAUUCUUUUUGCUCUGGAUUGGUACACAAAUUGCUUAGGACUUCCUAAUUAGGUAGGAUUUUUGGAGUUCCAGAAGUAUACGUUUGAUAUAGAUUACUACAGACUGUUCUGUUUCUGACAGAUUCUGUUUUUCAUGUGUUGUUUGCUUAUUUUGGUGCAUCUAUGAGUAGUAUCAGAGGGUAUGAACCAUAGAUAAGUUGGAAUACAGUAGAUAUUACACCAAUAUGAAUUUAGAAUGAGUUCAUUACAGUACCUAAGUGGUGGUUUUAUUUUCCUGUACUAACGGAGCUUAAGAGUUUUCUGUUGAGUUUUGUGUUGUGGAGUUUUCAAGUUUUGUUUAAAGAUUCGAUGGACUAUGGAAUAAGGAGUGGCAAGAGCCUAAGAUUGGGGAUUCCCAAGGCACCCCAAGGUAAUAUUCAAGGAUAACCAAGAGCCUAAGAUUGGGGAUGCCCCGGAUGGCAUUCCCUCUUUCGUCUUCGUUCAUCGGUAACUUUACUUGGAGCUAUAUUUUUAUUCACCACAUGAUAUGUGUUUUGCUUGGAGCAUCAAUUUCUCUUGUUAGUAUUUGCUUGCUGUUAUUUAGAAUAAUGUUUUGCAUCUUUACUUUCAAUAAAAAAAGUCAAGGAUAGCCUUUACCAUGCUUAUUUUGCUAGUAUACAUGUUGCUGUUUGGAAACAGAAAGGUUACCGCUGUUGCAAAAAUUCCCUAGAAAAGUCAGAGCAUGAUAUAAUGUUGAAACUUAUUGCAUAAUGAUCUCUGAUAAAUUUACUACGGUGUGAAUUUUAUUUCAUAAUUUUUGGAGUUAGGGAAGUUUGAUGAAUCUUGCAUUCUUUACAGACUGUACUGUUUUGACAGAUUGCUGUUAUGUUUGCAUUGUUUGCAUAUGUUUGCUUGUUUAGUGAUUCUAUUUAAGGAUAGGAGUAUUCAAUAUGCAGAGGCAUUUAGUAUGAAAUGUUGAAUAAUAAUUUUAGUGAUUUGUUAUAGUAGAAAAUGAUAAGGUUUUGCAUUGAUUUAUACUAACCUAUCUCACGAGUUCUUGUUGAGUUUGGUGUGGAUGAAGCUUUUGAUAAAAAGAGAAACCAUGAUAUGAGAGGAAUUAAGGAGACACAAAAGUUCAAGCUUGGGGAUUCCCAAGGCACCACAAGAUAAUAUUUCAAGAAGUAUCAAGCAUCUAAGCUUGGGGAUGCCCCGGUAGGCAUCCCACCUUUCUUCUUCAAACAACUAUCGGUUAGUAUCGGUUGAACCUAAGUUUUUGCUUCUUCACAUGAGUUGUGCUAUCCUUGCAAUGUCAUUUUAUUUUGUUUUGCUUGCUGCUUGAAUAAAGUACUUGAGAUCUGAAAUUCUUUAAUGAGAGAGAGUCUUCACAUAGUUACAUAAUUUAGCUACUCAUUGAUCUUCACUUAUAUCUUGUUGGAGUAAUUUGUCGUUUACUCGUGUGCUUCACUUAUAUCCUAUGAGUAAAUGGUUGAAUGAGUUGAAUGUCAUAAAUCUGAAAUUAUAUAUAUUUCAUUUGCUUAUCCCAUGGGGAGUAAUGACUUCACAUCUAAGAAGUAGAGGUUGUAAAUUUAUUGAAGGUUAGAAAGCAUUGUAUUGGUCAUUUGAACAAUUCAUGAAAGAAUAUUGAAGGAAGAGAGAUUUCCCAUAUAAAUACACUAUCCUAGACAUCUUUUAUAAUUGGGAGCACUCAUUAAGUAUGACAUGCUAAAGAGUUGAUGUUGGAUAAGGAAGACAACGUAAUGGGUUAUGUUUUCGCACAUCUCAGUUAAAGUAUAUUGUCAUGGAUCAUUCAAACAUGUUGAGCUUGCCUUUCCCCCUCAUGCUAGCCAAAUUCCUUGCACCAAGUAGAGAUACUAUUUGUGCUUCCAAAUAUCCUUAAACCCAGUUUUGCCAUAAGAGUCCACUAUACCUACCUAUGGAUUGAGUAAGGUCCUUCAAGUAAGUUGUCAUUGGUGCAAGCAAUAAAAGUUGCUCUCUAAAUAUGCAUGACUUAUUAGUGCGGAGAAAAUAAGCUUUGUACGAUCUUGUUAUGGAAGCAAUAAAAGCGACGGACUGCAUAAUAAAGGUCCAUAUACAAGUGGCAAUAUAAAGUGACGUUCUUUCGCAUUAAGAUUUUAUGUAUCCAACCCUAAAAGCGCAUGACAACCUCUGCUUCCCUCUGCGAAGGGCCUAUCUUUUACUUUAUGCAAGAGUCAAGGUGAUCUUCACCUUUCCCUUUUUCAUUUUAUCCUUUGGCAAGCACUUUGUGUUGGGGUGAUCCUGAUAUAUAUAUCCAAUUGGAUGUAAGUUAGCAUUAACUAUUAUUGUUGACAUCACCCAAAGGUGAAUACAUUGGGAGGCAACACUAUAAUCCCCUAUCUUUCCCAGUGUCCGAUUGAAACUCCAUAACCAUUAGUGUUGUGUGAGUGUUAGCAAUUGUAGAAGACUAUAUGAUAGUUGAGUAUGUGGAGUUUGCUAUUCCUGAAAAUAAGAUGAAUUGCAAGUGUUUGAUGACUAAGAAUGAAGUUUGCUAGUUUUCAAGAAAGUUUAUGGUCUAUGCUUUAACAUGAGAAUUGCUUGUUACUUGAUCUUGAGAAGUUUUAUGAGAUGAACUACUGUUAUGACAUAUAAUCAUGCUAGAAAAGGUGACUGAAAUUAUCAUUGAUCAAACUUGUGCACCUUCUAGCAUUCACACUUCAUAAAUUCUUUCUUUUAUCAUUUACCUACUCGAGGACGAGUAGGAAUUAAGCUUGGGUAUGCUGAUACGUCUCCAACAUAUCUAUAAUUUAUGAAGCAUUCAUGCUAUUUUAUUAUCUGUUUUGAAUGAUUACGGGCUUUAUUAUACACUUUUAUAUUACUUUUGGAACUAACCUAUUAACCGGAGGCCCAGCCCAUAUUGCUGUUUUAUUGCCUGUUUCGGUAUUUCGAAGAAAAGGAAUAUCAAACGGAGUCCAAACGGAGUCCAAACGGAAUGAAACCUUUAGGAGCGUGAUUUUUAGAACAAUAUGAUCCGGGAGACUUGGAGUUCACGUCAGAAGAUCCUCGAGGAGGCCACGAGAUAGGGGGGCGCGCCCACCCCCCUGGGCGCGUCCUACCCUCUCGUGGGCCCCUCGAGGCUCCCCUAACCGACUUCUUUCACCUAUAUAAGUCCAUGUACCCUAAAAACAUCGACAACGAAGAUAGAUCGAGAGUUACGCCGCCGCAAGCCUUUGUAGCCACCAAAAACCUCUCGGGAGCCUGUUCCAACACCCUGCCGGAGGGGGGAACCCAUCACCGGUGUCCAUCUUCAUCAUCCCGGCGCUAUCCAUGACGAGGAGGGAGUAGUUCACCCUCGGGGCUGAGGGUAUGUACCAGUAGCUAUGUGUUUGAUCUCUCUAUCUCUCUCUCUCUCUCUCGUGUUCUCUCUAUGGCACGAUCUUGAUGUAUCGCGAGCUUUGCUAUUAUAGUUGGAUAUUAUGAUGUUUCUCCCCCUCUACUCUCUUGUGAUGAAUUGAGUUUCCCUCUUGAAGUUAUCUUAUAGGAUUGAGUCUUUAAUUUGAGAACACUUGAUGUAUGUCUUGUCGUGUUUAUCUAUGGUGAUAAUGGGAUAUCACGUGCCACUUGAUGUAUGUUUUGGUGACCAACUUGCGGGUUCCGCCCAUGAACCUAUGCAUAGGGGUUGGCACAUGUUUUCUUGACUCUCCGGUAGAAACUUUGGGGCACUCUUUGAAGUACUUUGUGUUGGUUGGAUGAAUCUGAGAUUGUGUGAUGCAUAUCGUAUAAUCAUGCCCACGGAUACUUGAGGUGACAAUGGAGUAUCUAGGUAACAUUACGGUUUUGGUUGAUUUGUGUCUUAAGGUGUUAUUCUAGUAUGAACUCUAUGAUGGAUUGAGUGGAAAGAAUAGAUUUAUGUUAUUUUACUACGAACUCUUGAAUAGAUAGAACUGAAAGGAUAACUUUGAGGUGGUUUCGUACCCUACCAUAACCUCUUCGUUUGUUCUCCGCUAUUAGUUGCUUUGGAGUGACUCUUUGUUGCAUGUUGAGGGAUUGUUAUAUGAUCUAUCUAUGUUAUUAUUGUUGAGAGAACUUGCACUAGUGAAAGUAUGAACCCUAGGCCUUGUUUCCUAUCAUUGCAAUACUGUUUACGCUCACUUUUAUCAUUCGUUACCUUGCUGUUUUUAUAUUUUUUAGAUUACAAAAACCUAUAUCUACUAUCCAUAUUGCACUUGUAUCAUCAUCUCUUCGCCGAACUAGUGCACCUAUACAAUUUACCAUUGUAUUGGGUGUGUUGGGGACACAAGAGACUCUUUGCUAUUUGGUUGCAGGGUUGUUUGAGAGAGACCAUCUUCAUCCUACGCCUCCCACGGAUUGAUAAACCUUAGGUCAUCCACUUGAGGGAAAUUUGCUACUAUCCUACAAACCUAUGCACUUGCAGGCCCAACAACGUCUACAAGAAGAAGGUUGUGUAGUAGACAUCAGUGUUGCAAGUUGUGAAACAAAUUUAUGUGAAAUGAUUUGUGGAAUAUAUGUGAAAUUUAUAUUUCAAUGUGCUGAAACUGGAAAUUUCAGCCUGUGGAAGUGUUAUAUAUUUCUCAAAAUGAUUGGAAUGAUUUUCAGUGAGAUAUGAAAUGAAAUAGCUAUGUGUAGUUGAGUUGUGCAUAAUAUGUGAAACUGAUAUUUCAAUGUGUUGUUGCAAGUUGUCAAACUAAUUUAUGUGAAAAUAUAUGAAAUUACUUCUCUGAAAUGCAUAAAACUGAUAUUUCUCAUAUUUGUAACUUGUUAUUUCAGUGAUAUAUGUAUUGAAAAAUAUGAAAUUACUUUCCUGAAAUAUAUUUCGAUGUGGUGUUGCAAGUUGUGAAACUAAUUUUUGUGAGAAUAUAUGAAAUUACUUCUCUGAAAUAUGUGAAACUGAUAUUUGUCAUAUUUGUAACUUGUUAUUUCAGUGAAAUAUGUAUUUAAAAAUAUGAAAUUACUUCCCUGAAAUAUAUUUCAAUGUGGUGUUGCAAGUUGUGAAACUAAUUUUUGUGAGAAUAUAUGAAAUUCCUUCUCUGAAAUAUAUGAAACUGCUAUUUCAUAUAUAUGUAACUUUUUAUUUCGGUGAGAUAUGUAUUGAAAUAUAUGAAAUUACUUCCCUGAAAUAUAUUUCAAUGUGGUGUUGCAAGUUGUGGAACUACUUUCUGUGAAAAUAUAUGAAAUUACUUCUCUGAAAUAUGUGAAACUGCUAUUUGUCAUAUAUGUAACUUGUUAUUUUAGUGAGGUAUGCAUUGAAAAGUGUGAAAUUACCACCCUGAAAAAUAUGUAAUUACUUCCCUAAAAUAUAUUUCAAUGCGGUGUUGCAAGUUAUUAAACUAUUUUAACUUUAAUGGUUUGUGCAAGAUAUGUGAAAUUUUUAUUUCAAUGUGGUGAAACCAGAUCAUUUUAGCUUGUGGAAGUGUUAUAUAUUUCUCAAAAUGAUUGCAAUGCUUUUUGAAAGAGUUGAAAUGCUAUUUCAGUUAGAUACUAAUUGAAAUAGCUAUGUGUAGAUGAGCUGUGGACAAAAAAUGUGAAAUUGACAUUUCAAUGUGUUAUUGCAUUUUUUUUGAAAAAGUUUUAUUUGAAAUGAAUUUAAUAAGUUUUUAAAUUCUCAUAUAUGUUUUAACAGAUUUCAAAUCAAUUUAAAGUAGAGGUUUGUCCUUUGAAAAACAAGCUGACAUUUCUAUACGUCUGUGUGAAGUGAGACUGGCUUCACGCGUAUGUGUAAAGCGAUGGCUGUGGCUGAAAUCACGUGGUUAGGCCCAGCUGGUCAAAUCAUGUGGGUGGGGUCCAGCUGGUGAAAUACAGGGGCUUAAAUGAAGAUAUAUGUGAAAUACAAAGAUACAACUUAUGACAACUUUUGAGGUGUCGAGAUUUUAUUGGUUGGAGAACCACCUGUAUAUCCCGGCACCGGCACCGGCACCGGUAAAAAGAGGUUUGCGUCUCCACCUCCACGACACAUCACACCAUGCGCACAAGUGGUGCGUUUUUGCUCAAUAAUCCCCGCCCUAUGUGCCAAAUAGGACCAAGACAAGCAGGAUAUGCGGAUCAGAUGCAAACUGAUCUAUCGUCCACUUAUUUCAAUCGUCUACCGUGGUCACCCACGCACGAAAUUUAUGGGCUUGACUUCAAGGUACCACAGAUAGCCGCUUGUUGUGUGCCUAUGUGCAACCAAAAAUGUUCGCAACAUCGUACUAGAUCGUGGUCUCUCUAAGCGUCCGUCCCGUGUGUGACGGUAGGUACCCCGCAGCGACGCGUGGGCAACUUGGUUUGCGCCGCCGUUUCGUCGCCGUUUGGCUGCCCUAGGCCCGGUUCCCACCUGCCUCCCCCAACGUGAGUGCGGCUAGCCACAGCAGCCGCUUCUUGGGUGGGAUGGGGGCUUUGUUUUGGCCGUGAGUAGUGAGGUUUCGGGUGGAGUAGAGAGAGGGAGCCGCCCAGAUUUGGUCAGGGCCGGCAGUCCGCCGGCGAGAGGAAAGGUGAGAACUUCUCCUACCACCAAAAGCCUUCCCUAGGACCCCGGGGCCCGGGGUCGUAAUACACCCACCCGGAACGGCGUCGGCGUCAAGGAAGGGGAAGGGGAAGGAGGCGGGGGCGGAAGGAGUGGAAGCCCUGCUCAAGAACUUGAGGAUUGCUGAGAAGAAGAAGUGUGUGGUGCUAGGGACGGCAAGCGCAAGGGCGAAGGUAAAUCCAAACCAAGCUAUUGGGAAAGUGUUGUCCAAAAAAGUGACAUAUGCGGAUGGCAUUGCUCAGACUCUAGGAAGGAUUUGGUGCCGAAGGGAGGGUACCUUGUGCAAGGAGCUGGGGAGGAAUUGUUCUUGCUCACUUUCGGCCAGGCGUCGGGGAAGAGGAAAGCGCUCGAAGGGGGGCCAUGGCUAGUGGGCAAAGAUCUGCUGGUGCUGGAGGACUUCAUUGCAAGCAAAACAUUGGCUGAUUAUGAGUUCCGGUACUUCUCGAUUUGGGUUAGGGUGUCAAACAUCCCCCUGGGAAUGAUGAAUAAAGAUACUAGAGAGCUGAUUGGACAAGCAAUGGGGGAAUUCAUGGAAGCGGAGGUAGAUGCAGAGGACAUGGCAAUGGGGGAGUUCAUGAGAAUAAAGGUCAAACUCGAUGUCCAUGAGCCACUCAUGCGUGGUAUUAAAAUUCAAGUGAGCCCUGGAAAUGGGGAUGGGGAGGAGGAGGAAGGGGAUGAGAGUGAGGAGGAAGCGAUGAGGAUCAGGGGGGUGAGCGAAUGGAUGUGGUCGGAAAGAAGGGAAAGAAGAAAAAGUGGUGCCCUUUUGCUUAUGAGUUUUUACCUAAUUUCUGCUACACCUGUGGGAUCAUUGGCCAUACGGAUAAAGAGUGUUCCUAUAAAUUGAAAAGGGGGGAGGUGCAAUUGUACAACAAAGGUUUGAAGGUGAACAUGCUGGUCAGUUCAAGGAGGCUGGGUGGUGAGGAGGACAGAGGACAGUGGAGUGGCGGAAGGGGGGGUUUCUCUGCUAGAAGUAAUAGCUCUGGGGGUAGGGGAAGUUGGACCAGGAGUGACUUGGAGUCAUGGCGAAGGAAGGAGGUUGGGCAGGCCGGGGACAUGAGGAAGAAGAUAGGGGAGGAGAAGGAAGUCACCAGUCCGUUAAAGCUCCCUGACCCGAGAAUGACUAUGAAAAACAACAAAAAGAAGCUUGAGUUCUCGGAUGGGGAGAUGGUGAGUGCUGACCAUACAAAGAAAAGUACAAGAGAGGGUGAGGAGUUCAAGGAAGGAGGGAGGGAGGGAAAGAAGGAUGACAUGGGAGGAGUGGCGCGGGAGAAGGGAGACGUGGGCGUCCUAGGAGAUCCUGCCUCAAAUGAGCGGGGGCUGGAAGUGCAGAGAUAAGUAUAAAAAACAAAAAGGGGAAUAGCAAGAAGGUAGGGGAAGGGACAUAGGAAAAAGGAAGAACACACAGAAGGGUGAACAGAAGCGGCAAGGGAGAGCGGUGUGAAGGGGGAGUACAGAGUUUGGUGGGCACAAAACGAGACCCAACGGUAAUGGAGAUCGAGACUGAACUGGAGGAGGAGAUAAAGGCGAAAAGGCAGAGGGGGUUGGAGAUCAACGUGGAAACGGACAGUAAACUACCAAUAGAAGGGGGGCUGCAGUCACAGCCCUGCAAGAGCCAAUGAAUAUCGUGGCAUGGAAUUGUCGGGGGUUGGGAAACGCCCCGACAGUUCGUGGACUUCUGGACGUCCAGAGGUCCGAGGACCCAAACAUAUUGUUCUUGUCUGAAACAAAGCUCAAGGCAAAGAAAAUGGAGAGAUUUAAGUGGUUGCUCGGACUGCCAUGCAUGGUGGCACGAGAUAGUGAGGGUAAAGGAGGUGGGGUGGCAGUUUUCUGGAGAAGAGGAUUAAAUGUGGAGUUGCGAAAUUUCUCUAGGUUCCAUAUGGACCUGGAGAUCAAGGAAGAGGACGGUUUCAAAUGGAGGUUCACAGGCAUGUAUGGGGAGCCGAGGGCGGAGAAGAAGCAUCUCACGUGGAAGCUGAUGAGGAUCCUUCAUAACCAAGUGUCACUCCCUUGGCUGUGCACGGGAGACUUCAACGAGGUGUUGUUUGCUAACGAGAAGGAGGGCGGGAAUGAAAAAACCCAGGCAUGCAUGGGCAGAUUCAAGGAGGCCUUGGAGGUAUGUGGUUUAGAGGACAUGGGGUUUGAGGGGGACAAGUUUACCUGGCGGAAUAACAACCACCGAUGGGAGAACUACAUCCAGCAAAGAUUGGAUAGGGCGGUCGCAAAUGAGGGAUGGAGGAAGCAGUUUGAGGGGUUCAAGGUAGUGAAUGGUGAUCCUAGACACUCGGACCACAGGCCCAUUGUCAUCACAACAGAGAAAUCUGAGGGGGAGGGAGCAACAAGAGAGGUAGGGAGAGGAGGUGGGAGUCACAAGUUUAAGUUUGAGGCAUGUUGGCUGGAGGAGCAGCAGUGUGAUCAACUAGUGAAGGAGGCAUGAUGUCACACAAUGGCAGAGGGUGGUCGGUGUGUGAGGGAGGGGCUGAAGCAGGUGGCGGGAAGCUUCAGAAUUGGAGUGGAAACGUUUUGGGUGGCUUGGAGAAAAGGCUGAAGAAAGCAAGGAAAGAAGUGGAGAGAUGGAGACGUAUGCCGGUGAGUAAGGAGAAAGUGGCAGGGGAGGAAGUGGCACGGUAUAGAGUGGAGAGGCUGGAGGAGCAACUGAACACCUACUAUAAGCAGCAUGCACACAUGACCUGGUUGAGGAAGGGGGACAGAAACACCUCAUUUUUUCAUGCAAGUGUUAAAGAGCGAAGGAGAACUAAUAGGAUAGGGAAGCUGAGGCGUGAAGAUGGGAGCUGGGCGGUGAAAGAGGAGGAAAAGAAGGAGGUUGUCACUAAAUAUUUUGCGCAGCUGUUCAGGUCAUAGGGCAUAACACAUCAUGAUGAGGUUCUGAAUUCAGUGCAGAGCAGGGUAACGAGGGAGAUGAACUCGGGCCUACUGGCAGAGUUUAGUGCUGAGGAGGUCAAGGCGGAUCUGAGGGACAUUGGGGAUUUAAAGGCGCCAGGGGAGGAUGGUAUGCCAGCCAUUUUGUACAAGCACUACUAGGUGGAUGUGGGUGACAAAAUCACACAGGAAGUGCUAGCUUUUUUAAAUGGGGGGCCUAUGCCAACUGACUGGAACAACACGUCCACACGCUGAUCCCCAAGGUGAAGAAACCGGACUGUAUCAAGAAUCUGAGACCAAUAAGUCUUUGUAAUGUGGUCUAUAAGAUCAUAUCAAAGAUUCUCUCAAAGAGGUUGAAAGUGAUAUUGCCCGAGAUCAUCUCUUCGACUCAGAGUGCCUUUGUGCCGGGUAGGCUCCUAACUGACAAUGUACUGCUCGCUUAUGAGGUCAUGCACUAUAUGCGCAACAAAAGAAGUGGGAAGGAGGCCUAUGCCGCGGUGAAAUUGGAUAUGAGCAAGGCAUAUGACCGGGUUGAAUGGCAUUUCUUGGAAGCUAUGAUGGUCAAAAUGGGUUUCCACCGAAGGUUUAUGGAGCUGAUUAUGAAGUGUGUGAGGACAGUAAAGUAUCACAUCAAGAUUAAUGGUGAUCUCACCGAGGAAGUGUUACCUGAGAGGGGGCUGAGACAGGGGGACCCGCUGUCCCCUUAUCUCUUUUUGUUAUGCGCGGAAGCCUUUUCGUGUCUACUAACAAAAGCUGAGCAGAACAACUUGAUCCAGGGGAUUAAGGUGUGCCCGAAUGCCCCUAGCAUUUCUCUGCUGUUUGCCGAUGAUUCCCUCAUCCUUUUCAAGGCAAAUAAAGAGAGUGCGGAGCAGAUCCAACGUAUUUUGCAGGUUUAUGAGGCAAGCACGGGCCAAACCAUAAACAAAGAUAAAUCUGCCGCUUUCUUUAGUGCCAAUGUGCAGGCAAAGGAUAAGAAGGAUGUGAUGUGCAUUCUGGGGAUUGAGAAGGAGGCACUAAAUGAAAGAUAUCUGGGCAUGCCAAUUCAUGUGGGCAAAUCAAGAACCAAGACUUUCAGGCACAUAAUUGAGAGGAUUCUGCAAAGAAUUAGUGGAUGGCAGGAGAAGCUGCUCUCUCGGAUGGGAAAAGAACUCCUGAUUAAGGCAGUGGCGUAGGCGAUACCCACGUUUACUAUGUCAUGUUUUGACUUGACGAAGACCAUCUGUGAGGAAAUCAGCACCUUGGUGUGUAAAUACUGGUGGAGCCAGCGGGAUAAAUCCAACAAGAUUCAUUGGCUGAGUUGGGAGAAGAUGGUAAAGCCAAAGAGUGGGGGGGCCUGGGGUUCCGCGACAUCCACAGCUUCAACAUGGCUAUGCUCGCGAGACAAGGAUGGAGAAUGUUGCAACGGCCAGAGUCUUUAUGCGCACCGGUCUUGGGGGCUAAAUAUUUCCCCGAUGGGAAUCUGUUGAGUGUGGAGGAAACGAACAAUAUGUCCUACACCUGGAGGAGUAUUUUGCAAGGAAUCAAAAUCCUGAAGAAGGGGCUCAUUUGGCGAGUUGGCGAUGGACAGUCAAUCAAUAUGUGGAAGGACCCAUGGAUACCUAGGGGAACAACUAGGCGGCCGUCUACACCAAGGGGCACAAACAUUAUGUCAAAGGUCGGAGAGCUUAUCAACCCGGCUACUGGGUCAUGGGAUGAAGAACUGGUUCGGGCCACUUUCAAUGAAGAAGAUACCUCCUGGAUAUUGGCAAUCCCCGCAAAUUGUGAGCUGGAAGAUCUGCCGGCCUGGCACUUUGAAAGAAGGGGCAAGUUCUUUGUUAAAUCUGCAUAUUGGGUGCAUAUGCAUGAUAAAAACAUGGAGGGGCUGAGAGGUGUUGCUUCGAGGGCUGAGGAAGCGAACAAAGUGUCCCCUUGGAAGAAGAUCUGGCGGAUGACGGUCCCAGGUAAAAUAAAACAUUUUAUGUGGACGUUGGCUCACAACUCGAUGGCUGUUUGCAUGAACCUGCGAAGAAGAGGGCUGGAUAUCUCCAUGCGGUGCCCUGUUUGCCAAGCCAAUGGGGAGGACGGAGGCCAUCUGCUCUUCAAAUGCAAACAAGUUAAGGAGAUCUGGAGGCUGUGCGGGCUGGAGGAGGAGAGACUGCUGCUUAUGGAUCAGAGCACAGCUUUAACAAUGAUGGAUAAAUUGACAACUCUUGCUGGGGAGAAGCAAGCCAUUAUUGCCACUCUCAUGUGGAACUGGUGGUGUGAGCACAAUAACCGCAGAGGAGGAAAAGGAAGACGAAUCGAAGAGCUUGCUUGGAUUAUUGAGCAUCACACGAACGAGUUUCGAGACAUCCAACUGGAACCAACAAAUUAUGGGCUGACUCCACAGCAGCGAUGGAAACCACCGCCGGCUGAGUGGAUUAAAAUUAACAUUGAUGGCUCUUUCAAACCAAAAGACUGCAAUGGAGGCUGGGGGGCUAUGUUCAGGGAUCAUGUGGGUGAGGCGAUGGAGUGUGCUGCUGGCUUCCUGCCAAACUUGCUGAACCCGUUACAUUCCGAGAUGCUAGCUGCUAAAGCUGCUCUUCACUUGGCGUCAGACUUGGGAAUGGGCAGAGUCUACUUGGAAACUAAUGCUCUGCUGCUGAAGGAAGCGUUGGAUGAUACUAGUGUUGAUCUCUCUUGCCUAGGUGUUGUAGCUGACCGCUUAAAAGCUUUUAUUGUGUGUAAUUUCAUUGAGUGUAAGAUUGUGCACUGCUCUAGAACCUGUAAUCAAGUAGCGCACACCCUUGCGACGAAGGGCUCGUUGAUGGCCGGGGUGCCAAACAGUGUAACUGAUGGGUCUGACCCAUGUGUAUCAGCUUUAGUGGCGAGCGAUUUGGCUUCGCUCACUGUUUAAUGCAAAUUGCAUUGAAUCUCAAAAAAAAAUGUUCGCAACAAUAGGUUCAGAUGACGUGGGAGUCAAACUUGGGUAAAUUCAUACAAGUUGUGGAAACAGAAUAUGAAGAAAUCAUACAUGAGAUGCCCAAAGGGAACAAUUUGUGAUCUCUUUCUUUAGCAACAAAUCAAACCACCGAUACAAAUGAGAUUCGCUCAACAAAUCCCACGACAUGCUCAAAACGCUACGGCGUAAAUUUCGUCCACUGCUACAAGCAAGUCAUGGAUCCGAGUACCCAUUUCUGCUUGUGUUCAAAAGGCACAAUGAAGGCAAUAAUAAAUACUGAAAAGAAAAGAACCGGCAAAAUUGCAGCCUAUUAGUAGCACUUGGGGCUGAUCAG
rnacentral:lncRNA from 1 species